rnacentral:tRNA from 1 species
GCCUGAGUUGCUCAGUCGGUUAAGUGUCUGACUUCAGCUCAGGUCAUGAUCCCACAGUUUGUGGGUUCGAGCCCCAUGUCAGGCU